GGGGGCGACUGGAUUCGACACGACAGUCCUGAGGGAAGAAGCAGGCCGAGGUCUCCUCGCCUCGUUAAACAGGGGUACAAGACGCCAAGCGUCGACAACGAUCUUGCUCUCGCUGCCUAGACUAGGCUAGCGACGUCGCCCGGGAGUGCGUCCCCGUUCCCGGACCCGACGCCAUCAAGGGGACUCACCCCGCAGCCGACGACGGUAGGCCGCAGGGGAAACCCACCGUCUAGGGACGGGCACGCGUGUCACCGAGCGUCGCCCCGACCGAAACCCAAACGGUGACUGAGCCUGGAGAUGCUUCCCAGGGGUCUGCCGUGGACCGGAGUUCGAUUCUCCGCGCCUCCACCA
rnacentral:tmRNA from 1 species